rnacentral:rRNA from 1 species
UGGGGAAUUUUGGACAAUGGGCGAAAGCCUGAUCCAGCAAUGCCGCGUGUGUGAAGAAGGCCUUCGGGUUGUAAAGCACUUUUGUCCGGAAAGAAAUCCUUGGCUCUAAUACAGUCGGGGGAUGACGGUACCGGAAGAAUAAGCACCGGCUAACUACGUGCCAGCAGCCGCGGUAAUACGUAGGGUGCAAGCGUUAAUCGGAAUUACUGGGCGUAAAGCGUGCGCAGGCGGUUUGCUAAGACCGAUGUGAAAUCCCCGGGCUCAACCUGGGAACUGCAUUGGUGACUGGCAGGCUAGAGUAUGGCAGAGGGGGGUAGAAUUCCACGUGUAGCAGUGAAAUGCGUAGAGAUGUGGAGGAAUACCGAUGGCGAAGGCAGCCCCCUGGCAAGUACUGACGCUCAUGCACGAAAAGCGUGGGGAGCAAACAGGAUUAGAUACCCUGGUAGUCCACGCCCUAAACGAUGUCAACUAGUUGUUGGGGAUUCAUUUCCUUAGUAACGUAGCUAACGCGUGAAGUUGACCGCCUGGGGAGUACGGUCGCAAGAUUAAAACUCAAAUGAAUUGAC